rnacentral:rRNA from 1 species
GUGGAUUAGAUACCCUAGUAGUCCACGCCCUAAACGAUGAACACUCGCUGUUGGCGAUACACAGUCAGCGGCUAAGCGAAAGCGUUAAGUGUUCCACCUGGGGAGUACGCCCGCAAGGGUGAAACUCAAAGGAAUUGACGGGGGCCCGCACAAGCGGAGGAGCAUGUGGUUUAAUUCGAUGAUACGCGAGGAACCUUACCCGGGCUUGAAAGUUAGUGAAGUUUCCAGAGAUGGGAGCGUCCGCAAGGACACGAAACUAGGUGCUGCAUGGCUGUCGUCAACU